CAGUAGCCGCGGUAAUACAGAGGGUGCGAGCGUUAAUCGGAUUUACUGGGCGUAAAGCGUGCGUAGGUGGUGGUUUAAGUCCGUUGUGAAAGCCCUGGGCUCAACCUGGGAAUUGCAGUGGAUACUGGGUCACUAGAGUGUGGUAGAGGAUAGUGGAAUUUCCGGUGUAGCAGUGAAAUGCGUAGAGAUCGGAAGGAACAUCUGUGGCGAAGGCGACUAUCUGGGCCAACACUGACACUGAGGCACGAAAGCGUGGGGAGCAAACAGGAUUAGAUACCCGCGUAGUCCCUGUCUCUUAUAC
rnacentral:rRNA from 1 species